rnacentral:rRNA from 1 species
GACGAACGCUGGCGGCGUGCUUAACACAUGCAAGUCGAACGAAGAGCGACGGAAGCUUGCUUCUAUCAAUCUUAGUGGCGAACGGGUGAGUAACGCGUAAUCAACCUGCCCUUCAGAGGGGGACAACAGUUGGAAACGACUGCUAAUACCGCAUACGAUCUAAUCUCGGCAUCGAGGGUGGAUGAAAGGUGGCCUCUACAUGUAAGCUAUCACUGAAGGAGGGGAUUGCGUCUGAUUAGCUAGUUGGAGGGGUAACGGCCCACCAAGGCGAUGAUCAGUAGCCGGUCUGAGAGGAUGAACGGCCACAUUGGGACUGAGACACGGCCCAGACUCCUACGGGAGGCAGCAGUGGGGAAUCUUCCGCAAUGGACGAAAGUCUGACGGAGCAACGCCGCGUGAGUGAUGACGGCCUUCGGGUUGUAAAGCUCUGUUAAUCGGGACGAAAGGCCUUCUUGCGAAUAGUGAGAAGGAUUGACGGUACCGGAAUAGAAAGCCACGGCUAACUACGUG